GACGAACGCUGGCGGCGUGCUUAACACAUGCAAGUCGAACGGAGUGGCGAACGGGUGAGUAACACGUGGGUGACCUGCCCUGCCCUUCGGGAUAAGCCUGGGAAACUGGGUCUAAUUCCGGCUAGUGUGGGAUGGGCCAGCGGCCUAUCAGCUUGAUGGUGGGGUAUUGGCCUACCAAGGCGGCGACGGGUGGCCGGCCUGGGAGGGUGGACGGCCACAUAGGGACUGGGAAGGCAGCCAGAGGCAUACGGGAGGCAGCGGUGGGGAAUAGUGCGCAAUAGGCGGAGGGAGGAAGCAGGGACGCCGGGUGGGAGAUGACGGUCAUCGGGGAGUAAAGUCCUUUCAGCAACGACGCGGUAGAUGAAGAAGAAGCAACGGCUAACUACGUGCCAGCAGCCGCGGUAAUAC
rnacentral:rRNA from 1 species